rnacentral:rRNA from 1 species
GAUCCUGGCUCAGGAUGAACGCUAGCGACAGGCUUGACACAUGCAAGUCGAGGGGCAUCAUGAGGUAGCAAUACCUUGAUGGCGACCGGCGCACGGGUGAGUAACGCGUAUGCAACCUGCCCGAUACCGGGGUAUAGCCCAUGGAAACGUGGAUUAACACCCCAUAGUACUUUUAUCCUGCCUGGGGUGGGAGUUAAAUGUUCAAGGUAUCGGAUGGGCAUGCGUCCUAUUAGUUAGUUGGG